AAGAGGCUAAUGGUGGAGCAUGGAGGUGGGGGGGGGGUUAAACAUAAUGGUUCUAGAGUAGGACUGCCUGGGUUCAAACCUGUACUUUUCAUUUAAUGCUCCUAUAACUUUGAACAAAGUUACUUAAUGCAUCUGGGUCUGUUUUCUCAUCUGUAUAAGUGAGAUACAGAUGCUUCAAAGAGCUGCUGUAGGUAUUAAAUGCGGCAUUGCAUGUAAUGUGUGUGGAAGCAAAAGGAAGCAGAGGAUGACACAGGAAAGUGAAAAAGGAACGAAACUUCUGGUGGCUCAGGCCCAGGCUGCACAGAUGCUGAAAGCUGACCCUGGCUUUGGAGAAUGGCGCAAGAGCUUAAAGACAUAAAAGGAGGAGCAAGUUGUUCCAAGCAAAGACAGGACUUUGGCAAGGAACAUGAAACUCAAGAUGCCUUCACUUAUUAUAAACUUGAUGCAUUAUUAUAGGUGAGAAAGAUUUGCAACUGGGAGGACUCAUUGUUCUUUGGAUGGCUGCUGUUUCUUUAAAUUGGGUGAAAAAACUGUACAGUUGCUGAGUCAGAUGAUCUGGCAGCCUCGGAGAUUCAGAGCAAGAAAAUGGUGGCACUCAUAAAAAAAGAAAAGAAAAGAAAGCAAAACAUAAGCUUCCUUAAUACAUCUGCAAAGGGAAGUGUUUAAACACAAGGAAAGCUGCAGUAUGGGAAGAAAACAGUUGAGAGAACAAUUUGAGGCAAAUUCUUCAUCACUGGAAAAACUUCUUACUCCAUCCUCCAUUCCGUCUUGUACCCCAGAAAGAGGAACAAAGAGAAGAAGGCCUUUCAACACUCGCUGGCGGCCAACUGGCGCGUAAGGGAUUGGCUGCCGAGUUUUGGACACUUUCCUCGAAUGAACCUGACCCAUUCCGCUCCACCCCUCCAGAAAAAAGGCCUGGCCAGUUCCAAGCUGGGGAGAUGACCAAGAGACCUCCUCGUCAUUCCUUGCACCCCUCCUGAAUCCGAGAGGCCCCCACUUCGUCCUCCACCUAGUUGGGCCCCAAUCCCGCUCUAAGCAUCAGUCACUGUUAACGCAGAUCACAUCUUACCCGAGGAAACAGUUGGGGUGUGGGUCGAGGCCCAGGGCGGUUAACAACAGAAGGGGUGCAUUCGCGGAGUGGGGUGAUCAGUGGGCUAUGCCUCUAAACUCUUGCUACGGGGUCCUACCCCAGCGGCCAGUUAAAUCUCUGGGAUCCGCAGCGUCUCUAGAAAUUGAGAGGGUGGGGAGAUGGGGUCGAGGAGGGUGGUCGCAGCUAGGAGGUGGGGGAGGCUAGGUCGGUGCAGCUUUGAGUCUCGCUUCCUAGGUAGACUCUCUCUGUGGUCCUGGGGGAGGCCCUUUGCAACCCCAGCCAGGCUGUGGGAGGCGGUGAGCCCCAGUUUGAAAUUGUCCGGAGAGGACUAGGGAGAGGGAUUCCUAGAAGGGGGCAAGUUAUGUGACCAGAGGCCUAAUACCCAAGCUCUUUGGAAAUAGACAUAGCUAUGCGUUUAUAGUCUAUGUAAAAACGAACUAGGUUGUGAAUAGGCACAGCGAGCAUUGGUCUGAAGUCACAACUCUCUCGUGCUUUCUCCAGACCUUACCAGAACCUUGUUAUUUAUGAUCCUUGCACAACUCAGUUUCUUCACUGCCCAGCCCCCCCCCCCAAACAAUCUAAGGCUAAGCAAGCUCUCAGUUCAUCCUUAAUGCAUGAUCAUUUCAGGGUUUGAAAAUGACUAUAUAUAUAUAUUUAUAUAUAUUUACUGGUGCUGGUCAUAACUUCUUGAAAAACUCAAAAGUAUAACGAAGAAAUUAAAGAUCACCAAUCCCAAUCCCCUCAUCCUGAGGAAAACACUAUAAAAAUUUUUGUACAAAAACAGAGUGUAUGUGUGUGUCCAGAGAGAGGAAAGGAGGAAAAAUGAGAAUAAGAAUUGUUUACUGUUUUGAAUCUUGAAAAAUCAUCUAAAUUUAUAAUGUAAUCAUUUCACAUUCUACUAAAUAUUCUUCAAAGACACGAUGCUUAUCUAGUAUUCCAGAGUGCAGAAUAUUCCAGACCAUUAUUCCAGAGCAUAGUUUUGUACCACAAUUUAACAUCUUGUUGCUAGAAUGUAAGGCAAUUUUCAAUUUCUUGCUACUAUUUGUCUGUAUUAACCUUUGUCAGAAUCUUUCUUUCAUUGGAUGAUGCCCACACAGAGAAUACAAAUGUAUGGAUGUUUUUUCUGAUUAAAAAAAAAUUUUUUUUAAGUCAGCUCUAUGCCCAACAUGGGGCUUGAACUUGCAAGUCACAUCCUCUGUGGACUGAGCCAACCAGGUACCCCCAAAAAUGUAUGGAUAUUUUAGAAGUUCUUCAUACCUACAGUAAAAAUAUCCUUGCCAGUGAGGGGUUUAAGAAGUGCAUUAAUAGCUAUCAUUAUGUGACAAUGAGAAUUUAGAGAAUUGUAGCUUUUUAAAAAAGUUAGUAAAUAACUAUAAUUUUAUAUUUAUAAAGUGAAAGAAUAUCCAUUGUUUACAUAAUUUAAACUGUAGAAAUAAAGCAUCACAACUUUUUUUUUAAUCAGGUUAGAUUUUGCUGCAGACAGAAGGAUUCUCUGGCCCAAGGAGUUUUAGUGUGGAGGGGAUGAGUGAGAUUGUUAUGCUUCUCAAAAAGGAAGAAAAAUUGUGAAGAAUAAAAAUACUGGGUCAAAUGUUCAGCUAAGAAA